rnacentral:SRP_RNA from 1 species
GGUCAGGUCCCAUGCAAUAGCACCUUUGGUGAACCCCGUCAGGUCCGGAAGGAAGCAGCGGUAGCCAAAGGUCUAUGUGAUAUGGGGUGCCUGGCCACC